AUUGAACGCUGGCGGCAUGCCUUACACAUGCAAGUCGAACGGUAACAGGUCUUCGGAUGCUGACGAGUGGCGAACGGGUGAGUAAUACAUCGGAACGUGCCUAGUAGGGGGGGAUAACUACUCGAAAGAGUGGCUAAUACCGCAUGAGAUCUACGGAUGAAAGCAGGGGAUCGCAAGACCUUGUGCUACUAGAGCGGCCGAUGGCAGAUGAGGUAGUUGGUGGGAUAAAAGCUUACCAAGCCGACGAUCUGUAGCUGGUCUGAGAGGACGAUCAGCCACACUGGGACUGAGACACGGCCCAGACUCCUACGGGAGGCAGCAGUGGGGAAUUUUGGACAAUGGGCGCAAGCCUGAUCCAGCAAUGCCGCGUGCAGGAUGAAGGCCUUCGGGUUGUAAACUGCUUUUGUACGGAACGAAAAGCCCUGGGUUAAUACCCUGGGGUCAUGACGGUACCGUAAGAAUAAGCACCGGCUAACUACGUGCCAGCCGCCGCAGUAACAC
rnacentral:rRNA from 1 species